AAAAACAUGUCUUUUUGUUAAUGAUUUAAGGUCGGGCCUGCCCUAUGAUUAUUAAAUGGCCGCAGUAUUUUGACUGUGCAAAGGUAGCAUAAUCAUUAGUUUCUUAAUUAGGAGCUGGAAUGAAAGGUUUGAUGAGAGACUAACUGUCUCUAAUUUAUUUAAUAUAAUUUUAUUUUUUAGUAAGAAAGCUUAAAUUUUAUAGAAAGACGAGAAGACCCUAUAGAGUUUUAUAUUAAUGUUGUUGUAUUUAGAGGGGUUUUUGUUUUAACAAUAAUUUUAAGUAUUUUGUUGGGGUGAUAUAAAAAUUUAAUUAACUUUUUAUUAUUUAAACGCUUAUGAGCGUUAUUUUGAUCCUUGUUUUUGGAUUAUAAGAUUAAAUUACCUUAGGGAUAACAGCGUUAUUUUUCCUGAAAGUUCUUAUUGAUGGGGAAGUUUGCGACCUCGAUGUUGGAUUAAAAUUUACUUUAGGU
rnacentral:rRNA from 1 species